UUGUUCUAGAGCUGGGUUAUGAACGCCAUUUACAUUCACAGCCCCAACUGCGGACUAUGAUAGUGGGAGCUGCAUUUUGGCAACUUCUGCAGCCUGGGAGUAAAAUGUUCACUGCUCUUCAUUGAGCGGGGGCUUAUGAUGGUGGCAUCAGGUUUUCUUCUUCUAAACAAUGUUUUGUUGCCGUUCCACAUCCUGCUUGAUGCAUGGCUUUUCCCUUCUCGCCCACAGCAAUAUUCUUGGAACAACACGACCUCAUGAGGAAGUGUCGUUUCUAAGGACUCAGUUUGGGGUGAGCAAGAUGGAACCCAUGCUCAACAGCAGCAAAAGAUCAGAACGCUGCAAAAUUUCUAAAUGCUGCAAUUGACCUUAGACUAUGAUUGCUCUUUGCUUUUUUUAAAAAAAUAAAUUUAUGUAGUUAACAUUCUGUAAUUUGGGUUAGUGGACCAUACAUAAACUAUAUUACUGUUUGUGUACAUUGUACUGAAAUGGGCAUUGCUAUUAUUGGAGCCUGAAAUAAUAAAUAACAACGUUUCAGAAGUUUCAGAAGCUUUGUAGAGAUUUGGACGUUUGAGCAGUAUAGCCAUUCUGUUACAUAAAAUAAUAAAACUAAUAAUUAGUAUCUUAAUGAGUAUUAUAUAAAGGCAAACAAAUCAACAAAAUACGUUUUCAUUUCUUAGAGCAUUAUCAGACCGUUGUGAGCUGUCCAUAUCCUUGUGGCCAGACGUCUUCUUUGACCACAUUAGUGGGAAAAGUUGAAAGAGGGCUUCUGUCGCCAUGCCUGUAAACCUGGUGAAAUGUUUUGAAGAUUGCAUUAGUUUUCA